rnacentral:rRNA from 1 species
UACGGGGGGAGCAAGCGUUGUUCGGAUUUACUGGGCGUAAAGGGCGCGUAGGCGGCUUUGCAAGUCAGAGGUGAAAGCCCGGGGCUCAACCCCGGAAUAGCCUUUGAGACUGCAUCGCUAGAAUUGUGGAGAGGUAAGUGGAAUUCCGAGUGUAGAGGUGAAAUUCGUAGAUAUUCGGAAGAACACCAGUGGCGAAGGCGACUUACUGGACACAUAUUGACGCUGAGGUGCGAAAGCGUGGGGAGCAAACAGG